rnacentral:misc_RNA from 1 species
GAUGAAGAACGUAGCGAAAUGCGAUAAGUAGUGUGAAUUGCAGAAUUCAGUGAAUCAUCGAAUCUUUGAACGCACAUUGCGCCCCUUGGUAUCCCGAGGGGCAUGCCUGUUCGAGCGUCAUUUCACCCCUCAAGCCUGGCUUGGUGUUGGGCGACGUCCUCUUUGGGGACGCGCCUCGAAACGCUCGGCGGCGUGGCACCGGCUUUAAGCGUAGCAGAAUCUUUCGCUUUGGAAGUCGGGGCCCCGUCUGCCGGAAGACCUGCUCGCAAGGUUGACCUCGGAUCAGGCAGGGAUACCCGCUGAACUUAAGCAUAUCAAUAACGGAGGA